CUUAUGUUUCCAUGUCUCAUUGUCUUGUCUGUGUCAUCAUGAAUGUCUCAUGCUUCCUGUUUUGUUGUGAUAGUCCCUUGUCAUGUGUUCAGUGUAUUGAGUUUUGUUUCCUUGUGGCUCGUUAUGUCAGAUUCGUCCCAGCUGUGUUCCCACCUGUUCCCCAUCCUCUUGUUGUCCUACUUGUGCAUUUAAGCCCUGCAUCUUCCUUGUUCAUUGCUGGUUUGGUUGUCAGUCUUCCCCUGUGUGUCAUCCUCCAUGUUGCCUCUCUAUUUCUUCCUCAGUGUUUCAUAUCUCAGGCUCCUCCUUCCCAGUUUCAGGGUUUUGUUAUGUUUCCUUUGUUCCUCGUGUUCUUUUGUUAGUUUCUCCCUGUUCAGGUUUUGUAAGUUUUAUUCCCUGCCAUGCUCUGCUUUUGUCUGCAUUUAGUCUCACUGUAAAUAAAAACUCACUCCCAACUACUCUGUCCUCUGCAUCUGCACUUGGGUCCUUCUGUCGUCACUCCAUACGUCUGCCUCUGUAGCUGUGACACUCCCCUUUCCACAGGAAACCAUCAGCAAUGCUUUUUGUUGUGAAAUAAUAGCCAGAUGCAACAAUCUGAUGGAAAGCCUUGAACCAGAGUGGAGGCUUUUCCAGCAGCAGAUUAGUGCCCAUGGUUUGAUUUGGCAUGGAGAAGUUAAUGUUCACAUACUUUGUUCAUACGUUUUCAAACUUUAGGCAACAUGGACUAUGUUAAGGUGGCUGAAGAGCCGUCGCCAAGACCUGACAGAGAGGCAAGCAGAGCACUGCUGGUAACAGCAGAAUUUUCUCAUAACAGGUUGAUCUGGCAAAGAUUUGAUGCCAGAUGACCUUCCUGAUGCAACUCUCUCCAGUUAUCUAGGGCCGGAACCUGCAGUACACUGGCUUGUGUUCACACAUUGUGCGAUGAACUUCAUAGAAACUGUUUGCUUGAUGCUCAUUUGUGUCUGUAGCUCUAACUAGAUCCUGAAAUACCACAACUAUUAGUCAUGAACAUCUGCACCAAAAAU